rnacentral:rRNA from 1 species
AUGGGCACGGGGGUGCUCCCGGCCGUUGACAACAAGGGCAAGCAGCCCCUUCACCCAAUACCCGACGAGGUUGUGCUGCCGCCCACCGCCGAGGAGGACCCGAAGACGCCUGAGGGUGGCGACAACGAGGGCAUGGAGGAGCCCCCCAGCAACAAGCGCCGCAACUACGGCCACUACCAUCAAGAGGAUGGCCCAACUCACUUCUGCAAGGUCAUCCUUGCACCGAAGCUUGAGUGCAUCCCCGUGCCCCUGGACUUCACCAAGCACUUUGUCGCGGUGCCGACGGAAUUCAAGCUCAGUAACAACACCGGCUGCUCCUGGAAGGUGACGGUGAAGCUGAUGAACGGCAGGGUGACCCUGGAUCAGGGUUGGGCCACCUACGCAGCCGUUAAUCAGAUCAAGAUCGGCUACAUGGUGACGUUCAAGCUCCUCCCGACACCCUCAAGGUCAUCAUCUUCGACAACAAUGACAUUGAGGUCGUCAACAAGUGCGGAAAGCACGACGAAGCCUUCGCCACCAAGGAGUAGGGCCGGGGCCUCCCUAAGUACUAUCGAGUCUGCUUUGAACUGUUUUAUGUUUAUGGUUUAUGCGUAA